GACGAACGCUGGCGGCGUGCUUAACACAUGCAAGUCGAACGGGAGUAUUGAAGAAGCUUGCUUUAGAGAUACUUUAGUGGCGGACGGGUGAGUAACGCGUGAGGAGCUGUCCGAUGCAGGGGGACAACAGUUGGAAACGACUGCUAAUACCCCAUAAGCCGAGAGGUAAAAGGAUUUAUCCGGCAAUGGAGGUACUCGCGUCCUAUCAGCUAGUAGGUGAGGCAACGGCUCACCUAGGCGAAGACGGGUAGCCGGCCGGAGAGGGCGAACGACCACACUGGAACUGAGAUACGGUCCAGACUCCUACGGGAGGCAGCAGUGGGGAAUAUUGGGCAAUGGGGGGAACCCUGACCCAGCGACGCCGCGUGGGUGAAGAAAUCCCUCGGGAUGUAAAGCCCUGUUGUAUGGGAAGAGCGGAAGACGGUACCAUACGAGGAAGCCCCGGCAAACUACGUGCCAGCCGCCGUAAAAC
rnacentral:rRNA from 1 species